rnacentral:rRNA from 1 species
UGGCUCACCAAGGGGACGACGGGUAGCCGGCCUGAGAGGGUGACCGGCACACUGGGACUGAGACACGGCCCAGACUCUACGGGAGGCAGCAGUGGGGAAUAUUGCACAAUGGGCGGAAGCUGAUGCAGCGACGCCGCGUGAGGGAUGACGGCUUCGGGUUGUAAACCUCUUUCAGUAGGGAAGAAGCGAGAGUGACGGUACCUGCAGAAGAAGCGCCGGCUAACUACGUGCCAGCAGCCGCGGUAAUACGUAGGGCGCAAGCGUUGUCCGGAAUUAUUGGGCGUAAAGAGCUCGUAGGCGGUUUGUCGCGUCUGCUGUGAAAGCCCGGGGCUCAACCCCGGGUCUGCAGUGGGUACGGGCAGACUAGAGUGCAGUAGGGGAGACUGGAAUUCCUGGUGUAGCGGUGAAAUGCGCAGAUAUCAGGAGGAACACCGAUGGCGAAGGCAGGUCUCUGGGCUGUUACUGACGCUGAGGAGCGAAAGCAUGGGGAGCGAACAGGAUUAGAUACCCUGGUAGUCCAUGCCGUAAACGUUGGGCACUAGGUGUGGGGGACAUUCCACGUUUUCCGCGCCGUAGCUAACGCAUUAAGUGCCCCGCCUGGGGAGUACGGCCGCAAGGCUAAAACUCAAAGGAAUUGACGGGGGCCCGCACAAGCGGCGGAGCAUGCGGAUUAAUUCGAUGCAACGCGAAGAACCUUACCAAGGCUUGACAUUCACCGGACCGCCCCAGAGAUGGGGUUUCCCUUCGGGGCUGGUGGACAGGUGGUGCAUGGUGUCGUCGAAGCUCGUGAUCGCGAGAUGAG